rnacentral:rRNA from 1 species
AACGCUAGCUACAGGCUUAACACAUGCAAGUCGAGGGGCAGCACUAGGUAGCAAUACUGAGGUGGCGACCGGCGCACGGGUGCGUAACGCGUAUCCAACCUUCCCGAUACUCUUGGAUAGCCUUCCGAAAGGGAGAUUAAUACAAGAUGGUGUUUCAAUUCCGCAUGUUAUUGAAACUAAAGAUUUAUCGGUAUCGGAUGGGGAUGCGUGACAUUAGAUAGUAGGCGGGGUAACGGCCCACCUAGUCUACGAUGUCUAGGGGUUCUGAGAGGAAGGUCCCCCACACUGGAACUGAGACACGGUCCAGACUCCUACGGGAGGCAGCAGUGAGGAAUAUUGGUCAAUGGUCGGAAGACUGAACCAGCCAAGUAGCGUGAAGGAUGAAGGUUCUAUGGAUUGUAAACUUCUUUUAUACGGGAAUAAAACACCUUACGUGUAGGGUCUUGUAUGUACCGUAUGAAUAAGCAUCGGCUAACUCCGUGCCAGCAGCCGCGGUAAUACGGAGGAUGCGAGCGUUAUCCGGAUUUAUUGGGUUUAAAGGGAGCGUAGACGGGAUGUUAAGUCAGUUGUGAAAGGCUGCGGCUCAACCGCAGCACUGCAGUUGAUACUGGCGUCCUUGAGUGCGGUUGAGGUAUGUGGAAUUCGUGGUGUAGCGGUGAAAUGCUUAGAUAUCACGAAGAACUCCGAUUG